rnacentral:lncRNA from 1 species
ACGCAUGCGCAAGGCUUGAAUGGCGUCGGGGUUGGAGGGUUGGAAGGUCGGGAAGUGAAGGACUCGCAGGCAUAUUUAACAACGCAAAGUUGCUAGGAGUUGGUACCAGCGUUUGGGAGGUAGAGGUGGCGCUCAUGCAUAUUUGAGACAACAUCUGGAUGGUUGGGGAGAACGGUAAGGAGGAAGCGGCGCGCAUGCGUAUUUCAGACGGAGUGCCGGGGAGGGGAGGCGCUCAGCAUUCGGGUAAUUAAGGUUGCAAAAUGGCGAGGGGGGAGGUAAGCUGUCUUUGCUUGGCCAUCUUGGGCUAGCAGGCCUUGCAGAGAACUACCUUUUUAGCUGAGUGAAGGGAUCAACCUGAGUUGGAGUUCUCCUAUGCUGUGGCCAGAUCCACUAGAAAUUAACCCAGAAUCUUAGCCUCUCAGUGGCCUAUCGAUAAGCCAGCUAAGACAUGUUUUAAAGUAGAAGAUUAUAAGACCUCCCCCAGGGUCCUGCAGUCA